AAGUGAAAAAGGCAAAUCAUGGGAAAUCAUGAGACGCAAAGCCAUGGGCCUGUACCACACAUUAUAUGUUGGAUGGCAGCCGGUUACCACG
rnacentral:ncRNA from 1 species